GACGAACGCUGGCGGCGCGCCUAACACAUGCAAGUCGAGCGAGAACCAGGGCUUCGGCCCUGGGGACAGCGGCGAACGGGUGAGUAACACGUGGAUAACCUGCCCUCGGCACCGGAAUAGCCCGAGGAAACUCGGAUUAAUGCCGGAUGGCCCCACAUCCCUGCGGGGAACGUGGGAAAAGGUAGCUUCGGCCUCUGGCCGAGGAUGGGUCCGCGGUGGAUUAGCUUGUUGGCGGGGUAAAGGCCCACCAAGGCAACGAUCCAUAGCUGGUCUGAGAGGAUGAUCAGCCACACUGGGACUGAGACACGGCCCAGACUCCUACGGGAGGCAGCGGUGGGGAAUCUUGCGCAAUGGGCGAAAGCCUGACGCAGCGACGCCGCGUGCGGGAAGAAGGCCUUCGGGUUGUAAACCGCUUUCAGGAGGGACGAAGCCACUCGGGUGAAUAGCCCAGAGGGUGACGGUACUUCCAGAAGAAGCCCCGGCUAACUACGUGCCAGCAGCCGCGGUAACAC
rnacentral:rRNA from 1 species